rnacentral:lncRNA from 1 species
UUUUUUUUCGUCCCGAUCAUCCGGAGGCCAUCAUUCCAAUUAUCGUUCUCUAUUACCCCGGUGCAUCGUUCAAAUAUCCUCUAAUCAGUUCAUGAUCUCUUCGUUAUCAUGUAUCUAAAUCCCCUCAAGCAUAUUUGCCUUCUAAUUCUUCCCGGUGAUUAAGUCUCUUUCAUCAGUCAUUUUCGAAUUCUUACGGUGGUUCGUUCAAGAUUCUUUUUCCUUGAUUAUCAUUCAAUCCAUUCGCCCUUUCCAAUCCUACCGGCGGUUCAUGAAGACCUUCUCAAGUUUGUGAUAUGUCACUUCUCAAUUCUUUUUCAACAAGAAUAAGUAAUAUGAAAAAUCCAUUGUUUGUCAUCAAUUUAACUUGACGAAGGAUAAGCAUAUAAUAAAUCUUAUUCUUAUUGCAUUCAAGUGAGUAAUCCCUUCCUUCGGAAUUUGUUCGUGAGGAAUAAAUUCUAGUUCCAAGUGUUUUAAUAUUUUCUUUUCCGGAGUUCAAAUUUCAUCAGCCAUUUUGUCGGAACCCCCACCUAAAUCAUCGCAAGGCUCAUCUUAUUCUUUCUUCCUUCAUUCUAUCUCAUCAUCUUUUUGUCACCGGAGUUCUUCAUGGUGGUUCUUCAUGAUUUAAUUCAUUCUUCAAGAGUUCAUCAAGAUUCUUAUCGAAGGAGCUCAAGUAUCUUUCCUUCUUGAUUUUCGAAGUGCAAUUAAUUCUCCGUAUUCUUCUCCGUUCUUUUCAUUCAACUCUUUCAAUUCUUUUCGGAGUUUUGUGUCAUGUCUUCAUCAAGUAUCAUUCCAUCCUCUCUAGCUCGUGUUCUAUUCCUCCAUGUUUCAGCCGGAGUGCUGCCUAAAUCCUUUCAGUCUUGUUAGUGGAGGAGUGUUGUAACGCCCGGAUUCGAUGCGCUAGGUGUCUGUCAGUUAUUUGCCGUCGUUGCCAUGUCAUUUUCUUGCGUGUUGCAUAUUUCCAUGUUGUCAUGUGCAUUGCAUUGCAUUGCAUACGUGUUCGUUUCAUGCAUCCGAGUAUUUUCCCCGUUGUCCGUUUUGCAAUCCGGCACUCCUAUGUCCUCCGGCGUUCCCCUUUUAUCUCUCGUCGUGAGCGGGUGUUAAACAUUCUCGGAAUGGACCGAGUCUUGCCAAGUGGCCUUGGUACACCACCGCCGCCUGUCAAGUUUUGUGCCAUUUGGGGUCCGUUUGAUACUCCUACGGUUAACCGGGUAACCGUAAAAGCCCUCUUUGUGUUGCAGCCCAACACCCCUCCAAAGUGGCCCAGAACCCAUCCUAACCCCCUCCAUACUCUCGGUUGUUCGAUCACGAUCGCGUGGCCGAAAAGCGCACCUCAUUUGAAGCCUCCUAGCUCCCUCUACCUACAAAUAUGUGCACCCCCCCCUCCCGGAUUUUCCCGGAUGAACCCUAGCCCUCUCCCUCCUCGCGACUCCGGACAUGUCCGCCAGCAGCCGGACAUGUCCACCGCCGCGCCCCAGCCACUCCGGAGCCGCCACGUGGCGCCCCCGCGCCCACAUCGCCGCCGGCCCGCGGAGCCCAUCUGGGGCCCGUGCGGGCCCAGAUCCCACCGCCGCCGCCCGGCCCGUCCCACGUNNNNNNNNNNNNNNNNNNNNNNNNNNNNNNNNNNNNNNNNNNNNNNNNNNNNNNNNNNNNNNNNNNNNNNNNNNNNNNNNNNNNNNNNNNNNNNNNNNNNNNNNNNNNNNNNNNNNNNNNNNNNNNNNNNNNNNNNNNNNNNNNNNNNNNNNNNNNNNNNNNNNNNNNNNNNNNNNNNNNNNNNNNNNNNNNNNNNNNNNNNNNNNNNNNNNNNNNNNNNNNNNNNNNNNNNNNNNNNNNNNNNNNNNNNNNNNNNNNNNNNNNNNNNNNNNNNNNNNNNNNNNNNNNNNNNNNNNNNNNNNNNNNNNNNNNNNNNNNNNNNNNNNNNNNNNNNNNNNNNNNNNNNNNNNNNNNNNNNNNNUAGGGCGCCGUGCGCCUCCGUCGCCUGCCAGCCGGCCCCGCCCCGGCGCCCCUCCGCCGCCUCCGCCGCUCGCCGAACGCCGCCGCCCUCGCCGGAUUCCUCGCCGGCCGGAUCUGGUCAGGUGGACCAGAUCCACCAGUUCGGCCAACCAAACGCCGUCCCGCGACCCGGAUCCCUCCGUCCCGCUCCGUCUCGUCCCGCUUGACUUUUCGCGAGGGUAAGUCUGCCAAGUCCCUGAGAUUUUUAACAUUAUGUGGCUCUAUUCAUCGCAUCAUAUCUCCUUUGAUACUGCUCUGUUUCAUGCGUGUAAUAUAUCAAAAUGUUCGUCAUGAGAUUAUAUACAUUUCAUUCUAUUGUGUCAUGCUUGUUUGAGAUUAUCUUGAUGCCCGAAUCAUCGUUGCAAGAGUGCUAUAUGAAGUUAAUCUGCUGAAACUGUUAUAACUUGAUGAUUUGUCAUUUUUGUUGCAUUUGAUGUGUGCAUCCUAUGAGCAUGAGCUCUACAAAUGUUUUGAACUACAUCAUGUCAUCUUUACAGGGGUGCCAUCCAUGUAUUUUUGUGAGUUGUGUAGUGAGUGAAUCAAGCUUGUUAAGUAGGGUACUUGCUGUUACUGCUUUGCUAGGCUGAAUCUGUUAUUUUGUGAUGCUAUGUAAACCCGCUUGUACAAGUCAUUCUAUGCAUAAUCUGGAGAUGUUCACUAAGGAUGUUUUGUUAUACAUGUCAUGAUAUAUCCAUUCAUACCCCUGGUUGCAUUUAUAGCCUAUUGUAGCUUGUUGUAAUCUUGCUCCAAAUUUGCUAAAUAAUGUUGUUGUCAGCCUGUUAACUUUAAGAUCAGUUUUACCAUGUGAUUUGCUAGUGCUCCAUGCACCCUAUGGACUUGAUCUUGCCAUGCUUAGCUCAUAAAUGUGUCUUCUUACUGUUGGUUGCCUGGUCAUUCCAUGUAUUGCUCUGUGGUGAGUGGUAGAAACUCACCAACAUGCCUACUUAUUGUUGUUCCUGCCAUGUUUGAAUCUGUCAAAUAACUUGCCAUGUUUACAUGGGUGCCAUCAUAUCUUCUGAUUUUUUUUGGCUCAUGGUCAGUAAAGGACUUUUUUUUGACGCAUUUAGUAGUAUCAUGCCAUGCCUUUGUUUGCCAUGAUAAGUUUCUGUACCAUGUUUUUUGAUAGCUCUAAAUUUUGCAUCCUGAUGUUAUUUAUGUAAGCCUGUAAACUGUUAUUAUAUGCAAUCUUGCCAUGUCUUUUUGAGCAUGUUCUAGUGAUUUAUGGAGAUAGCUCAGUGUUCAUGUUUUGUUAUGCUUUACCUGUACAUCAUGUCCAUGCCUUCUGUUCUUAUGUUGAGGUGCUGUAGCAUACAGUUUUGAUGCUUGCUAGAUGCCUAGUUGUUGUUUUGGACAGCUUAUCCUUUAAACUUGUAUAGAGUGUAUGUGUUGAACCGUUGCUCCGUUUUGAGUGUGCUCUGUAUGAUACUUGAUUGAUUUUGCAUGUAGCUUCAUAUUAUCAUGUUGCAUCCUUGUUUUGAGGUGUUUGCUUGAUGUUUGGAUGCAUUUUGCAUUAAUGCCAUGUUUAACUUGUUUUGCUCAUAUCUUCUAGGCCGUAACUCCGAACUAAAUGAACUUUAUAUGUAACUUGACUAGAAUCUCGUGUAGAUCAUCUUGGUGCAACUUAACUUGCUGUUUAACAACUUGAACAUAAUGUUUAUUCAGAUCUGGACCAAUUUCGAAAUUUGCAUAUGAGGACUUACCGGAAUUGUUAUAUGUUGUUCCCGACCUCAUUUAAACUUGCCUUGAUGUGUUGUUCUUGUUUGCAUCAUCUCUUGCCAUGAGUAGCUUCAUGUAGUCUUGUCUUGCAUUAUGCUUGGUUGUGCAUCAUGUCAUGUAUAUGUGUGGUGUGUUUACCAUGUUGUGUGCUUCUUCUCGAUAGUUCCCGUUUUCGUUGCGAUCGUGAGGAUUCGUUCGUCUACGCUUGGUUCGUGGCUUCAUCUUCUUCAUGGACUCGUUCUUCUUCCUAGCGGGAUUUCAGGCAAGAUGGCCGCUACCCUGGAUCUCACUACUAUCAUUGCUAUGCUAGUUGCUUCGUUCUAUCGCUUUGCUGCGUUACCUAUCAAUUGCUCUUCAAGCCUCCCAAAUUACCAUGUCAGCCUCUAACCUUUUUCACCCUUCCUAGCAAACCAUUGCUUGGCUAUGUUACCGCUUUGCUCAGCCCCUCUUAUAGCGUUGCUAGUUGCAGGUGAAGUUGAAGAUUGCCCCAUGAUGGACAGGAUUAUGUUGGGAUAUAACAAUAUCUCUUAUAUUAUUAAUGCAUCUAUAUACUUUGUAAAGGGUGGAAGACUCGGCCUUAUGCCUGGUGUUUUGUUCCAUUUUUGCCGCCCCUAGUUUCCGUCAUACCGGUGUUAUGUUCCCGGAUUUUGCGUUCCUUACGCGGUUGGGUGAUUUAUGGGACCCCCUUGACAGUUCGCUUUGAAUAAAACUCCUCCAGCAAGGCCCAACCACUACUAGGGAAAAGCUUAUACACAGAAGUUUAUCAGCAGCGCGGUCUAAAAAUGGGCGCUACUGCUAAUUAGUAGCAGCGUAGGGUAUAAAACCCGCGCUACUACUAAGUUGAUAGUAGCAGCGAGGGGUAUAAACCCGCGCUACUACUAAAUGAUCUUCAUCAUACCCCUGAAACAGGUCAUAGUAGUAGCGAGGGGUAUAAAACCCGCGCUACUACUAAGUAGGUAGCUAUAGCGCGGGUAAGAACCCCACGCUAUUACUAACCGUGCCCACUAGUGCACCAUCUACCCCGGCCCGAUCCACUCCCACCCCACCACUAAAAAAACUCUCUCACAUCUCACGAACUCCGCACGAUCUCCUCGGUCCACCCCACCCCGGCUCCUCUCCCCACGAUAUCCUCGCCGCCGCCCCCACCCACGCCGGCCGAUUCCGGCGAGCACCGGCCGCGCGCAACACCCCAUCUCCUCCUCCUCCCCCUCCCUUCCCCUUCCUCCUUCGCCUGCCCCUUCUCUCUCCUCCUUCCUCCCGGCGGCCGGCCAUGGGCGCGGACGAGGAGGAGCACCAGUCCCCCACACGGAAGCGCGAGCGCGAGGAGGGGGAGGAGCCCGCGGCCGCCGUCCCAAAUCUGCAUCAGUUCGUCGAACAACAGCGACCGUGUUGUUCCGUCACCGGCGAGAUGUCUACCAAUGGCGUCGAGAUUAACGGGUACGUUUUGUUCCCCUCUCCGGCAAAUAGCCAUUGGUAGAAACUGGCACAUAUUUUAGGGAUUUCUGACUGAUUUGCCGGCUCCGUCGAUUCACAGGAUGUGUGCUGCGCCCGGGGCGAGGAGCAGUUCCUUCUUCCCAGCGGAGUCACAGGAUUCAUGAGCGUCCCAAACGGCGCGGUCUGUGCCGCCGGCUAUCCGCGGCCGCCUGUGGAAUGCAGUGGUGGGCGAGGUGUGCUCUGAAGCCACCAGCGGCUGGACGGGAAGGUCAGUGAAAAUCAAUCACCUCUAUUUUCUUUUUGUCUAUUGUUCUGCAAUCUCAUAUCUGGACCAUAUUUACGUUCUUAGUCGUAGAAACGUGUUUAUUGGCGCCUGCGUGGUAUAUGUUGUUGUUGGGGUUCAUGAAUGAGUCAUAGUAGCGGUGAAGCAGUUUAUUUCCAUAUUUGUUAGGUUCCCAGGCACGUAAAAUCUUGGCAGUGAGCUAUGGGGUUCCCUGUUGCUGAAUUUGUUCAUGAAGCAUUAGUAUUUGAUUCAGGUUUGCGGAAAUUUUGAUUUCCAGGUAAUUUGUUUUGUGGUAGUAGGUGACGCUAGGUUCAUGAACAUACAUAUGGAUGUUGAGUGCUAGAUUUCAGUUGGAGAGAAAGCUAAGAUGAAAUUGACUUCCAGGCUGUUAAUAAUCAUGAACUUGUGCGGUUGUGCCAUCAGAGGCGGCUUUGUUGGUUUUCCGAGCUUUUGCAGUCAUUCUGUAGGAUGCUCAAGGUAAGCAUAAUAAGCUGGUAGUGUAUUUAUUCCUUGCACAAUUUUAUUUUUCUUAAUUAUCUCCUGCACUAGCAUUACCAGGCUUAGUGCAUGCCAGGCUGAUCCUCCUGACUCUCCAAAAUGUGCUAGUGGUAAUAUUGUUUCCACCAUGAUGUGUACUAAUGUGAAGCAACUUGAUAGAAAUGCAGGCGGUUCAAAAUUCUAGCGGAUUGAAUUAGCUAGGUAACCGAUCAUCUGUUUCUGGAUUCUUGCUUUCACCGUUUCAAAUCCGUUAGUUGUAAGAAAAAUUAUGUGUUUUCGUUUGUUGUGAACUUGUGAUCAUAUCAUAUAUAUGCAUCUGCUCCGUGUAAGUUGUAAGAAUAAAUUUCUUGGAACAAUCUUUGCAUAUCUAUAGUAUGCGCACUUGCAUUUUCUGGGAGAUGAAUUUUAGCAUAUAUAUAUAUAUAUAAUUCUACAUGUUGCUCCCUCUUCUGUGCACGCAACCGUCGCCACCCUCAUGAUCAUUUGUCAUUCAUCAUACCCCCAACCAUCCCGUGAACCGCAGCAGAUCAAGUUGAAGAUCCGCAGCCCCUUGAUUGUUUGAAGUAUCCUCAAAUAAAAAAUGAACAUUUCCAAUAAAUAUAUUCAACUUUUACAAGGUUCUGGUUGCUUUGACAGUACAAUAUGUUCUACUGUACAUUAUAUUUCCAUAUCUAUAUAAUUUAGUUUGAGAAAGUAACUUAAGGAGGUGUAUCCCUUUUUAUAAUUCCUCUACACUACUCAAUCGCUAUCUGCCUCUAAUUAUUAUAGUGACAUCACUUAUGGGUGCGGCGCUAAAUUCUUGAGAACCUUCUCUAAUCAUCAUAUUUUUCGGUAUCUUAAUUCUUGUAUGUGAUGCCAUGAAUAUAUACUGUUAUAUAUUUUGCUACAUUAGUGUUGUUGCUGCUUCUGUUCAAAUUAUAGUACAUUGAUCAAAUUAACCUUUUCAGGCAAGAAGAACGCGGAGAAAAACAAGACAUUGGAAGAUGUUCUUGUUCGCUCACACAUCUCAUAGGAAGGACGAAGGUACCAAUUCCAGCUGAUGGUCCCUCUCCACUUUGUGUUAACUCAUGCAUGCUUCUUUAUUGAUCAAUUGUUGUAUGAUCCAUUCACAGUUUUAGGAUGGUGCAUUCUUGAUACAAUUUCGCUUACUCAAUCCAUGUAGUCUAUGGACUGAAAAAACAAUUACUGCAGUUAUUUUCAACCGGUUCUAUGUAGUUUCCAACAUAUUGCUUAUAGUGUCUAGUUUGGUGCUUAAUUCAGCUAGAAAUGCUUUCUGGGAAGACUAGUAACACAUAUUCACUCCACAGAAAGUUAACGAGUCUUUGAAGCCGAAGUUCAACCUCUUUGUCAAGCAGGUGUCCGCCAGCAUUGGGAUGGCAGAGCCACACAUUGAUGUAUGGAUAUUUUCUGGUUGCUUGCCCCAUUCUCAAAUUAAUAAAAAUUAUUUGGUCUUCAUAUAUUUUGCUUUUGCAAUAUCCUGUUCUAACAUCUGAAAAUGGAAUACUUUAACAAUAUAAUCCUCCUAACUUUCUGCAACUGAUUUUUGUUGUAGUCCAAAAUUAUAUGUUUGUAUUUAUUGCCUUUUUUUAGUGUGUUGAUAUUUGAAAGGGGAACAAGGCAACAUGUUGCACACUUGCUUUUGUUAGAGCACUAUAUUUUAUUGUUAACCAUGCUAUGGUCCAAACUCCUUUUUAUUCUGCUUAUAUGAUAUUGCUCAUCUUUUGUUUUCUGUUCGAUGCCUCCUGUAUUUAGAGUAGAAAUAAUCUUAAUUUAGUGUUUCUUGAACAUGGCCAGGGCAAUGGAUAAAAUCUACUCUGGAUAGUUGAUAGAGGGAGUAGAUGCUAAGUUGACUUUUUUCCUGCGGAUUUGCUUAUCGUGAAGAUGCUUGCAAGGAUGCAGAGGGAGCGGAUCAUUUGGAGAUAUAGGAUGCCACUAUUUGGUGUUUUUAUGCAUUUUGAUUUGCUUGUAACUGUGUUUGCACUAGCUGGGAGUAAGUGACUUUAAGGAGUGUAGGUGUUUUAAUUGAAGGCAUGAAAAGCCAUGACAAUAUGUAUGCUCUUACAGGAUGUGCUCUAAUGCUGCUGGCUUAUUAUAAAUCUUGGAUUAGUAAUGAUGUGUAAUGAUGUUGGUUUAUUGCAAAUAUGUGUUUGUUUUAGUUGGAAUUGUAUGCAUAGAAUGGAAUUGGUGGAUUUUAUUUUUUUAAUUCCUAAUUAGUUAGUAGUAGCGUGGGAAAACACCAGACGCGCUACUACUACUUUGUUAGUAGUAGCGUGGGUUUGCAUCCAGGCUACUACUACUUUUUAGUAGUAGCGUGGGAAAAAACCUAAGGCGCUACUACUGUUUCAUUACUGGUAGCGCGGGUUGCACCCGCGCUACUACUAAAAUGUUAGUAGUAGCGUGGGUUUCACCCGCGCUACUACUAACUAUUAGCUGUAGCGCGAUACUAGUAGCGCGUGUACCCGCGCUGCUAGUAACCAUUUUACCCGCGCUGCUAGUAGCCUUUUUCCUAGUAGUGAACCUUGGUUUUACCAUUUGCCUCACCUAGCCCUUUUUCCCUUGGGUUUCCGGAGCCCGAGGGUCAUCUUUAUUUUAGCCCCCUCCCCCCCCCCNNNNNNNNNNNNNNNNNNNNNNNNNNNNNNNNNNNNNNNNNNNNNNNNNNNNNNNNNNNNNNNNNNNNNNNNNNNNNNNNNNNNNNNNNNNNNNNNNNNNNNNNNNNNNNNNNNNNNNNNNNNNNNNNNNNNNNNNNNNNNNNNNNNNNNNNNNNNNNNNNNNNNNNNNNNNNNNNNNNNNNNNNNNNNNNNNNNNNNNNNNNNNNNNNNNNNNNNNNNNNNNNNNNNNNNNNNNNNNNNNNNNNNNNNNNNNNNNNNNNNNNNNNNNNNNNNNNNNNNNNNNNNNNNNNNNNNNNNNNNNNNNNNNNNNNNNNNNNNNNNNNNNNNNNNNCCAGUGCUCCUUCGAGUGUUGGUCCGAACCGAGCUUCCUGCGGGGCCACCUCGGGGAAACUCGAAGUGUGGUUUUACUUGUAGCUUGACUUAUCCGGUGUGCCCUGAGAAUGAGGUACGUGCGACUCCUAUCGGGAUUUGUCGGCACAUCGGGCGGCUUUGCUGGUCUUAUUUUACCAUUGUCGAAAUGUCUUGUAAACUGGGAUUCCGAGUCUGAUCGGGUCUUCCUGGGAGAAGGUAUAUCCUUCGUUGAUCGCGAGAGCUUAUCAUGGGCUAAGUUGGGACAUUCCUGCAGGGUAUAAACUUUUGAAAGCCGUGCCCGCGGUUAUGGGCAGAUGGGAAUUUGUUAAUGUCCGGUUGUAGAUAACUUGACACCAGAUCCGAAUUAAAACGCAUCAACCAUGUGUGUCGCCAUGAUGGUCUCUUUUCGGCGGAGUCCGGGAAGUGAACACGGUUUUGGGUUAUGUUUGACGUAAGUAGGAGUUCAGGAUCACUUUUUGAUCAUUGCUAGCUUCACGUCCGUUCCGUUGCUUCUCUUCUCGCUCUUAUUUGCGUAUGUUAGCCAUCAUAUCAUGCUUAGACGCUGCUGCAACCUCAUCACUUUACCCCUUCCUUUCCCAUUAAGCUUUGCUAGUCUUGAUACCCAUGGUAAUGGGAUUGCUGAGUCCUCGUGGCUCACAGAUUACUACAACACCAGUUGCAGGUACAGGUUAUGCGAUGAUCAUGACGCGAGAGCGAUGUUUGCUUGUUUUGGAGUUCUUCUUCUACUUCUUCUUCGAUCAGGGGAUAGCUUCCAGGUCGGCAGCCUGGGCUAGCAGCGUGGAUGUCAGUUGAGUUUCUGUUUGUGUUUCAUCCGUAGUCGGAUGAUGCUCUUAUGUAUGAUGAUGUUGUACUCGUGUGGCAUUGUAUGCCUCUUGUAUGUAUCCCCAUCUAUUAUGUAAUGUUGAUGUAAUGAUAUCCACCUUACAAAAGCGUUUCAAUAUGUGGUUCUAUCCUUGGUGGGACCUUUGAGUCUCUUUAGGAUAGUGUCGUAUAUUGGGCGUGACAUCAUGGGUGGCUGUUUCCUGCAAAACUAAUACUAAAUCAGUACAGUCAGUCACCCUGAAAUGGAAACCUACUACCUAUAUAUAAUAUGUAUUUUUUAAUGCAGUAUACAAUAUGUAGUUGCUUUUGCAUUGUUUAUGAUAGGGCUAGCAAGAGGACACCGUGGGUGAAGACGGAACAUGUGUUGGAUUCAUAGUUGAUGGAUGUCAGAUAUGGUUUUCUCCUUCGACGUCUUAGUCGUGGUGGGGUGCCUGAUCUGGAGUUCGACGGCGUGUCCGGGGUGUUGCCCCGGUCUGAUUUGUUCCGGUAAUUGCUUUACUUUUGGUGAGCCACCUUCGAGGUCCGCAAAGCUGAUUAUCAGCGAUGGAGCCGCGUUGAGCUCGGGUGAUAAGGUAAUCCAUCAUUUUCCUUUGAUGGUUGUUGUGGUGGUGCCGGAUGCAGGUGACAAUAGUUGAUUUUAAGUUCAACGAUGUUUUGCUAUCUUUUCAGUUUUGUCAUGCCGGUCUUUACGUGACUUGUAUUUUAUUUUUCAUGAUAUGAAUGAGACACGUAUUACCAUGCGAAAAGAAAUAAAAAUAUAGCAGGAGGACACCGUGGGCAAGUAGAGGGAUCGGCUUGGAGAAACCAAUCAAGGUUACGGAGGAGGAUUAAGAUGUGGACUUUCUGCCUACAGCAAUGAGCAGACCGGAUCUCAAAGCAAAUGAACCGUCUAGAUAAAGUGUGCAUCUGUGCCCAAGCUCAGAUUAGCACUUUUGAUGUAUAUUUGAUUUCAUUAGUAGCUUCUGCUACUUCCCGAAUCAUAGAAGAAAUCCGAACAUGUUGGGCAUGAAAAAUUAUGUGAAUAUCAUCACAAAAUAUUCUAGUACAUGAGAAAAUUAAUCAGUCCACUCCAAAUCGUAACUAAACAUGCAUUUCAAAUUGCAUGGUCCCAUAUAGGACAUAACAAAAGCGACACAUAUACAUAUCAAGUGUUGCAUAGCAUGAGAGGUUGGAGGAGGCCAAACACAUAAAUUUAGACCACUUUGAGCUAACUAGUAAAAAUGCACGUGCAACGCACGAGUACCGUGCGAAUAAAAUCAUCAUACGUUUUAGAAAAUAAUAUGUUAAUAAAAUAAAAAUAUAUACUUAUAAUGAACAUUGUUGUAAUAAUACAAAAGAAAUGUAGCUCAAAGUAAAAAAUCAGCGAAUAUAUUUGUCAUCAAUCAUGAGUGAACCGACUAUCUUCGAGAGAUAUUUAUAAAAAGUAAUGUGAUGCUUGAAGUAAUAAACCAUUUGGAAACUGCAUUGGGGUAACACGACACUUGUCUUUUGCCUCAAGAUCUCAAGGUUACCAUGCUAAUAAAUACAACAACUUUGCCCAUCAAAUGCAAAGACAAAACAACACCUUGCAUGCAUAAACUGCAAGCAUUAACCAUGUAUUUUCAUAGAAAUCAAGCCUAUCUGAUGGAAACAAAAAAAUUCACUCACAGGAAAAUGUGAUCAUCCUUUGAAGUUAUUAACACUCACCUUCCCGUCCUUGAAAUGCACCUUCUAGGAGCAGUAGUACAUAAACUAAAUCCUUACAAGUCAAGAACUGAAUCCCCCUGUUAUUAUGUGCACAAUUUUUUCGACCUGACACCAUCCAGAAAGAUACUAAAUACAACAGUCUGGACACAACAAGAGAAACACGAGGAGAAAAAAGAGAGUGCGAGUUCGACAUCGCAAGAGAAACACAAGGAGAUAAUACAACAAUCAUGACAUAACAAGAGAAACAGGAGGAGAGAAGGGAGAGUGCGAGUUCGAGGCAUCAUCAAGAAACCCGCUGCGCACGCCCACAAUCAACUCCUUCACUAUCGGGCAAUAACCUGAAGGCACUAAUCUAGACCUAACAACAUCCAGAAAGAUAAUAUACCCCAAGAUAGUUCAUACAGCGAACAACGAAACACCAUCAGCAAAAAACAACAGCCCUGGCAAUGAUCCCUGAAUCUAGAAUGACGUAUCCUAGUGCACCAUCUUCAUCCAGAAGUUCCUUGAAAUGCUCCUUGGCAAAGCCUCAGUAUGUUGGCGGCAUUGAUCUUGAGCAGCUCCGCUCCCUACUUCAGCUCCUUCGGGCUAUCUCCCUUCUAAAGACCUACCCAAUACACCAAGAGAGAACAGAAGACGAAAACAAUUUUAAAAGGAGACUUGAUCAUCUUCCUUUUGAAGGUUGCUUUGUUAUGAAAACCAACCAAAUAGCCCAGCAUAUAACAACCAACCCAACCAUGUAGAACCUCUCACCAGAUGGUAAAUAAGCACAACACCAAGAAUGGAACUGCCAAAUACUAUUGGGGCAACAGUCAAUCCCAAAAACUGAUCCAACAAGCCAAACCACUCUAGCAACAGAGCAUGAAAAGAACAUGCGUGGGAGUGGGACACAAGAGCGAUGAGUGGGGCAUGGGCGUGGGCGGCUUUAUUUUCUGGGGGGCGUUGGAGGUGGAGAGCGUAAGACAUGGGUCAGGAGGUACAACACUAAUUGCAAUUAGCGCCAAAUAUCUGAGGGCUUUAGGCCGUAGGAUCUGCCAUAUGGAUGGAUAGAAUGGAUUUGGAUCUCCAAACUUCGUGCUUUUAUAGGGGCAAUAGAUAGAUGGAUAAAUUAUGUAGGGGUGUUUUCAGAAGAAAAAAAUGGAAGGGGGGGGGGGGCAUGGCCCCAGCCUGCCCAGCCCUGGCUCUGUCACUGAGACUAAGUUCGAAGGACUAAAGUAAAGAUAGUUUGCAUCUAUCAGACUAGCCAGAGGCCAUCGGAUGGGAAGCAUGACAUAAUUAAGCCACAUGAUAGGCUAGAUGAACCUCGUCCUAAUUUGUUGUUGCUUCUUAACUGCUUCCGUAACUCACGCAUCUCUCUCUCUCUCUCUCUGUGUGUGUGUGUGUGUGUGUGUGUGUGUGUGUUUCUUACUCCUUAAACAAUGCUUCCUCGCUCUCUCCAAAUCAAGGAGAAUAGGGACGAGAUCGGUAGGAUGAAUUUGAAUGCUUUCCUAGUUUAUUUCUUCCGCAAAUCAGGGCUGUAAUCCUUCCCAAAAUCACAUGAGGCUAUUUGCUUCCUUAGGAAGCAGAUCUUGAUUUCAUUAUUACCUAAAAUUGCUUCCAUAAGUGUCAUGUGACUUUGCUUGCACAUCAAAGACGUUUCAUCCCAAUGUAGUGUUGCGGAAAUAAACUUGCUUCCAUUUACCCAUGGAUUUGCUUGCACCGUGAAUUAAUCUUGCUACAGUUAACAAAAUUUUGUUUUCUGCCUAAUGAAAAAAAAAUCAAUUGACUAGAGGAUUGCUCUAACCAAAUAAGAGUUCUUUCUAUACAAAAUAAACAUUAUCAUGACUACACAUAACACAUGCUUGCUCUACCCCUGGUGUGUUGCCCAACCGCCUGCUUGAGUGCACACAAAGUGUUUGAUAAAAUGCCAAAGAGAGAGGGGAUGAGAAAGAAGAAGAAGACCAAGUCAACUUGUCUGCGUGGCAUUUUUUUCUUCCAACUCAGCCCGACAAAUGGGCCCGCCGAUUACUGACGUCAUCAAAAUACUUGCAUUUUGAAUCAAUGUUUUUUGCCACUGUCAAAUUUUCGAUUCGGUACGAAGUGUCACAUUUUGCAAAGUGGUGGUUUUCCGAGAGGUAUGACGCUAAAAAGUGGUGGUUCUGUGCAUUUUACUCUGCUGGGAGAGAUCAGACCUACUCCCUCCGUUCCAAAAUAGAUGACUCAACUUUGUAAUAUAUUACUACAAAGUUGAGUCAUAUAUUUUGGAACGAAGGGAGUAACAAAUAAGAUUAGGUUAGCACAUGUCGCGCAAGCGUCAUGCAUUCAUACUUACUUUUUUUACUGAUGAUCUAACCAAGAAUAUGCAUCAACAAUACCAUUUGACUGUGUUGCACAUACCACAUGGAAGAAAAAUUAGGGAUGAAUCAAAUUCAUCCCAAACACACAACCUAAGUAUGCUUAUAUGCUGGAACUGGCAGAGAAGUCCUUACUCAUAAUCAAACUAAUUAUAUAAACAUUAUUUAUCUUGUACAAAAAGACUAGUGCAUUGUGCUCAUAUAGUGAUAUAGGCAAACACUGGUGGAAUUAGGCAAUACAAAUAUUUACAUACGGAAUUGAGAUAAACUUGAGCUAACAUGCAAAAGCAAAAUCCUAUUAGACAUCAAUCCUCUAAACGUUGGGAUUUUCAAAUAGCCCAUCAUAUGUAUUUUUUAAACUUAAUAGCCCAUUGUAUGUUCAAAACUUCACAUAAGGAAAUAGCAUAUUGUAUGAUCAAAUAGUAUGUUGAAUCCUCAAAGAUUUAAUCACUCAAGAGUAGUCAUGAGUUCGUGAAGAAGAAUACUAGUGAACCACAUAGAUAGUCUAAUAACAGACACACAACAAUGGCAAUUGUUCACACUGUGAAGCAGAAACAGAAUAUGUAUGUUGCAUAGUUAUUUUUACAGUCAACAUAACAUCUCCCGCUAUAGUACUUUUACCGAAAAGAGCUCAAUAAUUUUUGUUCAGAUAUUCCACUAGGUCAUGGCACAUGAAAAAUAUCUUGCAAUAUUAUUUGUGAACACACUGGGCUUGCCAAAAAUAUUUGAAUGAGAGGCAUUGGUCAAAUAAAAUCGCGACCAACUCCUGUAACCGCGCUCAAUCUCCUUGCAGACCUCAUAGUACCAAGGGAGAGACUACGUUGCCACUCAAACCUAAAGGACACAUGACUUUGAUGAAUCUUUGUCUGCCUUAUGGUCUAGUGGCCAGUUGUUGACCGUUCUGGUGGCUAUCAGUUUUUUUGCCAAUUUAUACAAGGGUCCAAAUCAAUGAUCAUUGUGCUAAAAUAAAACUUUAACCGUUGGUUUAUUAUGCCAGAUGCAAGAGAUGUUUGCGAGUGUAUCCAAGGAUUGUUGCCAAUCCAAUAUACCAGAAGAAGGCAAAUUGUUAUGCAGCUCACAUAUGGUUCGCCAAACUAGCAGGCCACAAGAACAUAAAUAAAUAGACCAUCAUUCAUGCUGGCAUCAGGAAUAUAUCUUGAGUUAUCAUAAGAUCAAACAGCAGAGAACAUCUGAUAUAACACUAAAACAUUGGAAAACAGUCACAAACUCAUGACAAAUUACGCUUUAGUGCUGAUAUAGAAAUAUACUAAAAUGGUCCGCACAUUUGACAAACAAGUCUAGCCAAAACUUCCACAGGUUCUCAGAAUACAUGAUCAGUUUCGGUUGCCAACAUAGCAUAGAUUCACCAUAAAAAGCUCAUGACAAUCACAAGAAACAAGCAUUACUGUCCCUAGAUCGAAAAAACCUGCAUUGAACAAAACAAAAAGAGAAGCAACGUUAGCAUAGCCAACACAAUGGAUGUGUCAAACAUGGCUAGAAAAACAAAAAGCAAAUCAUGUUCAUAAUUUGAGGCAACA